rnacentral:tRNA from 1 species
UGGCUCAGCGGUAAAGAAUCUGCUUGAGAUGCAGGAGACCCAGGUUCGAUCCCUGG